rnacentral:rRNA from 1 species
AGCAGCCGCGGUAAUUCCAGCUCCAAUAGCGUAUAUUAAAGUUGUUGCAGUUAAAAAGCUCGUAGUUGAAUUUCAGGAUUAGUACGUUGGUCGUGCCUUCGGUACGUACUGGUGUUACUGAUUCCUACCUUCUGACGAACCAUCAUGUCAUUAGUUUGGUGUGGUGGGGAAUCAGGACUGUUACUUUGAAAAAAUUAGAGUGUUUAAAGCAGGCUCGCGCUUGAAUACAUUAGCAUGGAAUAAUGAAAUAGGACGUUGACCCUAUUUUGUUGGUUUCUAGGAUUGACGUAAUGAUUAAUAGGGAUAGUUGGGGGCAUUAGUAUUCAAUUGUCAGAGGUGAAAUUCUUGGAUUUAUCGAAGACUAACUACUGCGAAAGCAUUUGCCAAGGAUGUUUUCAUUAAUCAAGAACGAAAGUUAGGGGAUCGAAGACGAUCAGAUACCGUCGUAGCCUUAACCAUAAACUAUGCCGACUAGGGAUCGGAUGAUGUUAUUUUUAAUGACUCA